rnacentral:lncRNA from 1 species
AUGGCAAAAAAUAUACGGUCCCCAACAUGAGUACAACAUUAAUUUUGGAUUAGCGAUACAUCAUAUCUGCGUGAACAUAAACUCGGUGCUCAGCACUUGAAGAAGCAAAUGCAAUCAAAACCAUAGCCUCCACAAGCACCAUAAUUUGAGUACUCAGCGUCAAUGCAUGUUGUAUUACAUACCGAGUCACGAAUACAAGGCCCUGACCAUGUUCUACUUGGACUGUCACAUAUUUUAGCUUUCACCUCUACAUAUAAAAAUAAAAUAAUGAUAAUAUAAAGAAAAUUAAGAAGGUAAAUAAGGAUUAGAAUUAAAGAAGCACAAGAGAUUAAAUAUAGAUUGUUUAGUAAAUUUGUACCACAUGUGAAAAUAAGGAGAAGUGCAAGACUGAGGAGCAUGAAGAUGGUGUAGAAUAUACUAACAGAGGAAGACAUGAUUUUUAUAUUUAAAUCAAUGCUCUCUACAAGAU